rnacentral:tRNA from 1 species
GGGAUUAUAGCUCAGUUGGUAGAGCACUUGCGUCACAUGCAAGGGGCCACAGGUUCGAGUCCUGUUAAUCCCACCA